GGUCUUCGAGGUGGUAGAUUUCGUGUCAACCACACGCCCCCGUGGCUAAAAGAGAUGCAGGGGAACGGCACGCCUGCCGAAGACC
rnacentral:ncRNA from 12 species